CAUUAAUGUGGAUGGGAUCAUAGUCGGCCGGCGGUAGAAAACAGUGGCCAAAAGCAGUGGAUAAACUACAUGCAGUCGGCAGAACCCAUCAUAUCAAAGGGGUGUGUCAGGUAGUAGUGGGUGGCACAGUAAUCCAGGAAAAGAGAGUAUAACCUAGCAAGGAAGUCUUCACAAAGAGGUAUGUUCUCAUACACUUUCAUAUGGAUAUUCUCACAUACACACAACAGAAAAUUAUCAUCUCUCUCUCUAGACACUAGACAUUACAUUCCUCCAUUGUUAACCUUGUGAACACGUAUACUGACUCUCACGCCUGAGCUAUCCCCUGACGGAACAGCCGUCAAGCUUGUGGUGUUUACCGUGUUUACUGUGCAGGAUCAGGGUGUCUUACGUGAUUUGGACGUGGCAGAAGUUCCUGGCGUUAACAUUGGCGCUAAAAGGAGGGCUUUUGAGUUCUAGUGUCAUUGAAAUUUUCAAUCACAAUCGUUUAACCUACUUCGGAAGAUGAUGAGGAGUAGGGAUGGUACGCCAGAAGGGCAGGCAAUGGCUGUUAGCUCGUCACUGCCUCGUGUUUCGGUGAAGGAUCGUCUGGGUCCUUCAAAAGUGCUUAUGAGAGCACGGCCUCUAAGCACAAUUCGGGAGAUCUCCGUCCGAAGAUCCAUGGUGGGGCCAGACGAAGAUUGGUUUUCGGGGCGGAUAAGGAGUGUGAUCAUGGUCGAGGGCAGGCGGAAGGCUCACCAACCAAGACUUAUCGUAGAAGUGGUCAGGAAGAUAAAGCCGCCAAGUUGGCGGAGAUGGCGGACGAAGCAGAUAAAGCCUUGGAGGUUCUGUUGAAGCAGAGAGAAAAUAUAGCCGAGCAGAUGCUUCGGGUGGCGGAAUUAAGGGACGAAGCAUCUAGCCAUGAUCAGUCCGAAAGACGGAGUAGGCAUAAGGAGAUGCCACGGCGAGAGGGUAAGGAGCCGGAGCAUUCCGCCCAUGUAUCUAGGGAUCGUCCUCGCAGUAGAAGGAGAUCAAGGAGCAGAACUCCCGUGGCCUCGAAGAAGGCACUAAUGGUCGUUGGCUCUCAUCAUCGAGACGAUGACAGACGAAGGAGCAGGUCGAGGGAGAUCACACCAGAAACCAGAGCAAGGGAUUAUCAACGUGACCAUUCUCAUCAUAAGGACAGAGUUGUACGCCGGAGUAGAUCAAGAAGUCCCACCAGGGCAGUGGGAUCGGCAGGAGGGGGUCGAUCCUCUCAGAAACCGAAUGUAGUUCACGAGAAAGCGGUCUCCCCACAGCCCGAAGGUGUUGAUUUUCUGGUGAAGGAGCUGAAAGAACUUCGGAAAUAGUUGGCUGAGGUCCAGCAGGUGAAGGACACCCUAGGAAAGAAGGCAUCCCCUUUUUCCUCUGAUAUUCUCAAAGAGAAGGCAGACAUCACCAAGAAGUUGCCUCGUAUGGAAAGUUACGAUGGUUCCGGGGAUCCGUAUGACCAUAGCCAGGCGUUCGAUCAGCUGAUGGACUACUAUGAUUUCACUGAUGCUGCCAAGUGCCACACUUUUGUUACAAUGCUGAGAAAAGAUGCAAGACAAUGGAUGGGAACUUUGCCAUCAGAUUCGAUAUCCUCUUGAACCGAGCUUUGUGAUAAGUUUCAUGCCCGUUUCGGGAGUAACCGGAGAAGGGGAAAGCCUACGGGUUCUCUGGCACAGAUCCGACAGUUUACCAGUGAAUCUUUGGGCCAGUAUGUGAAGAGGUUCAGAGAAGCAGUCGGUCAGGUGUCCGAUCUCAAUGAUCUCCAGGCUGUAGGUUUGUUCUAGAAUGGGCUGGACCUGGUAAAAUCCGAAAAAUUGGUGAAGAAGUUGGUGUUCCACCAUCCGAAGAGCUUGGCCGAAGCCUUUGACAAGGCAGAAGGCUAUAUUAUUGUGGAAGAAGCUAUGAACAGCUUGAAGCAUCCUUCUUCGGACCAAUUGAAGGUAAUAGAAGUUCCCAAGGCCGAAGUUGAUCAAAGGAGAGCGGGGGGGUAUAAUGAUCGGCCAGAGGGCAGUUCGAAGAAGUACAAUAACUCCUGGCGGCAAGGAAGCAGUCGUCCCCCUGUUUCAGCCCCGAAGGUGAAUAAGGUCUACACCAAACUGAACACAGAUAGAUCAGUGAUUCUAGAUCAGAUCAGAAACCAACCUUUCUUCGAGCCACCUCGUGAUAAUUAUAGAACGGGACAGGGUAACUCUCGUAAGUAUUGUGGCUAUCAUCAAGCCGCAGGCCAUGACACUAACGAGUGUUGCAAUUUGAAAGAUUUCGUGGAGAAGAAGAUUAAAGAUGGCUUAUUGGUGCAGUAUGUGGCCACGAACGACCGACGUGAUCAGCAGAAUAUCAACCGUACUGUUCAGACGGUUCAAAUGGCUCCAUCCGUCCAGAAUGCUCUGGUACCACCCCCAAGGCAUGUCAUCGAUGUGAUAACUGGUGGAUCUGUAGGGAAGUUGGUAGGGAAGAAGAGAAGGGCCUACCUCGAUUCGGUCAUGUCGUUGACGGUUGAUAGACCAUUCCCCGGGACCGUUAUAUCUUUCACGGAUGCAGACUAUCCUUCGGAGCCCAUCGAGCCGCAUGAAGGGGCCUUAGUGAUCACAGCGCAAGUGGGCUCGCUGGACGUGAAACGUAUGAUGAUAGACAACGGAUCUUCGGUGGAUAUUCUGUAUGCACAUGCCUAUCAGAGGAUGCAUCUUGAUGGGCAGAAAAUGGAGGUCGGGCAGGAGGCUCCUUUAUACGGUUUCAGCAACGAUUCGGUCAAAGUUGCAGGCACUAUUGAACUCCCGGUUAUCUUCGGCACAGCACCCCAGCAGGUAGAAAUAAUGUGUAAAUUCUAUGUUGUGCAUGUAGAUUCGGCUUACAACGCCAUACUGGGAAGACCUGCCUUGACUGCUCUCCAGGCUGUGAACUCCAUUCCUCAUUUCAAAAUUAAGUUCCCCACGGCUCAUGGAAUAGGAGAGGUGGCGGGAGACUUAGAUCUGGCCCGAAGAUGUUACCGGAAUGCUGUUAUUUCCUCUGGAAUGGGGGUCAGCAAGCAGAAACAGACGAUGGCGAUUGAGAUUGAACCCUUCACCGAAAGCAGUUCAGAACCGUUGGUGAUCCCUGCAGGUGGGACGGAGGAGAUCGAGUUGAUCAUUGGAAAGCCAGACAAGACGAUGAAGAUUGGUUCGGGUCUUCCAGAACCUCUUCGGACGAACCUUAUGGAACUCUUACGCUUUUAUGCGGAUAUCUUUGCAUGGGAACCACAAGACAUGCCUGGAGUUAGUCGGAAGAUAGCUGAGCACAGACUGGAUGUAGAUCCCUCGAAGAAGCCAGUUCGGCAGAAAAGGCGGAUCUUUGCACCAGAACGACAAAAGAUCAUUGAUGAGGAAAUUACAAAGUUGUUAGCUGCUGAAUUCAUCUACGAAAUUGAUUAUCCCGAGUGGAUGGCGAAUGUGGUCUUGGUGCAGAAGCAGAAUGGAAAAUAGCGGGUUUGCAUCGACUACACCGAUCUUAAUAAAGCUUGUCCGAAGGACUUUUAUCCUUUGCCUCAUAUCGAUCAGCUCAUCGAUGCCACUUCGGGGUAUGCAUUACUAAGCUUUAUGGAUGCUUUUUCAGGUUAUCAUCAAAUAUCCAUGUGCAAAGAGGACAUUCCAAAGACAGCGUUCAUUACACACCGUUCGGUGUACGCCUACAAGAAGAUGAAUUUUGGCCUUAUAAAUGCGGGAGCCACCUACCAGAGAAUGAUGAACUUCAUCUUCGAUAGGCAGCUAGAGAGGAACAUGGAGGUUUAUGUAGAUGAUAUGAUCGUGAAGAGCAUGCAAGUUCAGAAGCAUUUGGACGAUCUGGAGGAAUGCUUUCAGACUGUCCGACAUCGUCAACUAAGACUCAAUCUGGCCAAAUGCACUUUCGGCCUCGGUACAGGAAAGUUCUUGGGAUAUCUGGUCAGUCAGAAGGGCAUCGAGGCCAAUCCGGAGAAGAUCCAGGCCAUUCUUGAUAUGAAGACUCCUCAGUCGUUCAAAGAUGCCCAACGUCUGACUAGUAGGAUUGCAGCCUUGAGGAGGUUCGUCACCAAAUCUGCAGAAAGAUGCCUUCCUUUCUUUGGCACGUUGAAGGGGCCGAAGAAUGCCAAGAUGUUUCAGUGGACUUUGGAGUGUGAAGACGCCUUCCAAGGCAUAAAGACAUAUCUUUCUUCUGCUCCUUUAUUGGUGAAGCCCGCCCCGACAGAGACCUUAUAUCUAUAUCUUGCAGCAAGUUCGUUGGCAGUGGGAGCGUUGCUGGUUCGAGAGGUCAGUGGAAAGCAGCAUCCGGUCUAUUAUGUCAGUCACGUCUUACGAGAUGCUGAAACCAGGUACCCGAAUAUUGAGAAAUUUGUCUUCGCUUUAAUAAAUACUAGCAGAAAGCUUCGGCAAUAUUUUCAAGGUAGGCUCCUGGUAGUCUACACGGAUCAGCCAUUGAAAAAGGUGAUGGGCAAGCCAGAAGUUUCAGGGAGGCUAGCAGCGUGGACUAUGGAGCUGUCCCAAUUUUUCAUCGAAUACCAUCCUCGAACCGCUAUCAAGGGUCAGGCGUUGGCCGAUUUUAUGGUAGAAUGCUUAUUUACCGAAGCAGAUGCCGAGUUGCCAGAGGUUGAAUCAUCUGACCGAGCAGUUGCAGUUCUUCAACAGGGCCAGAGUGCUUAGACCUUAUAUGCAGAUGGAUCCUCUACUCUGACUGUUAGUGGAGCAGGAAUUAUCUUGACAAGUCCAGAAGGAUUCAAAGUUCAGCAGGCCAUCAGAUUCGGGUUUAAAGCGACGAACAACGAAGCUGAAUACGAAGCAGUGUUAGCAGGGGUUCGAUUGGCAAAGAGUCUAGAAGUGCGGAAGUUAAUCAUCUACAGUGACUCUCAGUUGGUCGUCAAGCAACUGUCGGGCGAUUAUGAAGCUCGUGGGACCCGGAUGAUCAAGUAUUUGGUGGAAUUAAAAGACCGACUUCAGUAUUUUGUUUCGUAUGAGUUUCAGGGCAUAGAGCGUAGCGAUAAUUCCAUUGCCGAUGCACUGUCGAAGCUGGCCACUACGGACGCGGAUGUUUUCAACGGAUCAGUUUAUUUGGAGGUUUUACAGCAGCCGAGCGUUCAACAUGAAGCGGUGAUGUGUAUUGAGCGAUCUAACUGCUGGAUGACCCCCUACAUCGAGUAUUUGGCAGAUGGCGUCCUUCCUUCGGAUCAGAUGUUGGCAAAGAAAAUCAAAUACAAGAGUGCCAAUUUUGUUCUUAUUGAUGGAGAUCUUUAUCGAUUGGCAUUCUCCUCACCAUUGCUGAAAUGUCUGGUCCCAUCCGAGGCGAAUAUGCUCUUCGGGAAGUUCACGAGGGCAUUUGCGGUGAUCAUAUGGCUGCCAAGUCUUUGGCUUAUAAAGUACUUCGACAGGGAUACUAUUGGCCUACAAUUUUCAAAGAAGCUACAGAAUAUGUCAAGAAAUGUGAAAAGUGCCAACUUAACAGUCCGAUCCCACAUCAGCCACCGGAAGAGCUAUACUCGAUUUUAUCUCCUAUACCCUUCGCUGUCUGGGGGGUAGAUAUAUUGGGUCCGUUGCCUACAGCUAAAGGUCAGGUUAGCUUUGUCAUAGUUGUUAUUGAUUACAUGACUAAGUGGGUAGAAGCGAAGCCACUUCGGUUAAUAAUGGAACAAGAGUGUUUGAAGUUCAUAAAGGAGUCCAUAGUGUUUCGCUUUGGAAUUCCUAGAGUAUUAAUAUCGGACAACGGACGCCAGUUCGUGGGAUCAAAAUUUGAAGGAUUUUUAAAGGAGCUAGGGGUUCAGCACAGGAAGACUUCGGUGGCUCACCCACAGUCAAACGGACAAGUUGAGGUGACCAACAGGACGCUGCUGAAUGGGAUCAAGCGCAGACUAGAUGAAGCUAAAGGAAGAUGGCCAGAAGAGCUACUCAGCGUACUGUGGGCUUACCGGACUACACCAAGGACAACCACAGGGGAUUUAUCUUUUCGACUGGCCUACGGUACUGAUGUCUUAGUCCCAGUCAAAAUUGGAUCUCCAAGUCUUCGGGUCAGUCAAUUCAAAGAAAUCUAUAAUGACGAAGGACUGAAGGCCAACUUGGAUCUACUAGAAGAAGUCAGAGAAGUGGCUUUACUCAAAUUGGCUGCUUAUCAACGAAGAGUAGCUAAACAUUACAACAAAGGAGUCAAACUUCGCAGAUUCAAAGUAGGAGACUUCGUCCUCAGAGAAGCUGAAGCCUCUAGACCUCAAAACACGGGAAAGUUAAUGCCGAACUGGGAAGGGCCGUAUGAAGUGAUCGAAGUAUCAAAACCAGGCACUUAUCGGUUAAAGGCAUUAGAUGGUUCCGAAAUCAAGAACACUUGGCAUGCUGGUAGGUUUCGGAAAUACUUUCAAUAGAGAUCAAGUUAGUUUAUCGGAAGUCUGUAUAUGAUUGCUCAUUAUCAAUAAAAAGUCACUUUUUCACUAUUGAUCCUGGUCCUAUUUGUCCUAAGGUCACUAUGGUGUAAGGAGGUAUAGUAGGACUCGCUGGCCAUUCGAUGGCAGCCCAUUUGUUGUUCUACCCCGAGUGGUAGACAAAGGUCCCUAUGAUCCUAUAUUGAUUUUACCGAGGGUGGUAAGUCAAUGGUCACUAUUGAUCCUGGUCCUAUUUGUCCUAUUUGUCCUAAGGUCACUAUGGUGUAAGGAGGUAUGGUAGGACUCGCUGGCCAUUCGAUGGCAGCCCAUUUGUUGUUCUACCCCGAGUGGUAGACAAAGGUCCUUAUGAUCCUAUAUUGAUUUUACCAAGGGUGGUAAGUCAAUGGUCACUAUUGAUCCUGGUCCUAUUUUUCCUAAGGUCACAAUGGUGUAAGGAGGUAUGGUAGGACUCGUUGGCCAUUCGAUGGCAACCGUUUUAGUAGGUGUGUCCUUAUGGGUUUGAUUUACCGCGAGUGGUAAACAAAUUCCAUGGUCCUUAUAUCUUGGUCCUUAUAUAAUUGUUUCACCUCGAAUGGUAAACAAAUGUCCUUAUAUACUUGUUCUACCCCGAGAGGUAAGCAAGAUCUUGAUGGCGCAAGGAGGGUCAGCCGAAUUCACUUUACACAUGACCGAUCUCACACUUCAAAACCGAUGAGUAUAUACUACUUUAUUUUGUUUAAGUGUUGAGUUCAGUCCAUUCAAUUCAGUUAAGUUAAAGUUUGUCCAUAAAAUUCAAGUUGCUUCAUUUCAUAAGUUAACUGUUACAUGCUUUGGCUGAUUCAUUAUUUGGGUUCAGUUUAUUGAUACUGAAUUAUUGACAAGAAACUAACCGAAACAGAGCUCACAAUCAAGAAAAUUGAAGAUUCAUCAAUAGAAUAAAGCAUUCAUUCGUUUGAUUCAUUCAUAAACUGAUCACAUGAACAUAAAAACACUGUCAAAAUCCAUAUAUAAAGUUUCAAAAUAAUCCCAAAAACAUAAAAAGUUUAAGUAGUUAAAUUUUUACAUAAUUAGAACAGAAGUAGGAGGGACAUUCAGGCACCACCUUCGUCCUCGGAGUCAAGCAGAGCAGGAUCCAGCUGAGCGGCAGAUAGCUUUUCUUUGCCUCGCUCUCUGCAGUCUUCAUAUCCCUCCGAGUAGACCUUCAUGAUUUCGACGUUAAGUUCGUCCGAGUCCCUGUAGUCCGCCUGAAUUUGCUUCCGCAGCUCUUCGGUCAGAAGAGGACCCCGUCCCUUAAGUUCCUUUAUUUUGUGACGAAGUUUAUGGCGUUUGGCCUUGUGUCUUCGUUGUUCGUCCUGGGCCUUCGCCUGAGCCUCGCCCAGUUGGAUCGCCAAGCUUCGGUUGGCUGAAGAAAACUCCUCAUUUUUAGUUUUCAGAAGCAGGUUUUCUUCAACCAAGCCGGCAUUCAUAUCGGUUAAAACUUGUUGGCUGGUCUUGGACGCAGCCAACCCGUCCCUCGUGGCCCUUAGCUCGUCGUCAGACGUCUUCAAAUCCAUCCUAGCCCGAUCUAGAUCUCUUUGAAGGUCGUUGAUGGUAUGAAGAGCGUCUUCCUGAUCGACCCUUUCUCGAUCCAAGGUUGAUUUCAGCAUAUCUAUCUCUUGCCUCAUGAAGUCCUCCUUGGCCUCCCCAUUUAUGUGCCUCGGACGCAAACGUCCAAAGACAGCAUUGGCCUGCAUAUAUUCAACAGUAUUCAAGUCAGUACCCCAAUAUCCAAGCAAGAACAGAAAGAUAGAAAAUAAAGAAAUGGUUAUUUACCUUAGCCAGAUAGUUCAUCCCUUCAUCGAGCAGAUUCCCGUCCGUGUGGUCACUGAACCGAUGGUCGUCAGCAUUCUGUACAAAGGCCCCGAAGAGGUCGAAGGGAAAAUUUGCAUUAAAUCUAGGCCACAGAGUCGGAGACCCCAUGGCCUCAGUAUGAUAACCCUGACCUGAGGGACCGGGUCAUUCAGGAGAGGGUCUCGACCUUUCCGGGGAAGGAGCUGGUUGCUCAGGAGGAGUAGGUUCAGCAUAUACGGUUUCGGGGGAAUGAGACUUAUUUGGGAUGGGUUCAUGAGGAGAUGGGGCAGAGGCCGAGCUUGGAUGGCUGUCAGGCAUACGUUUCCUCUUCCUGGACAGCUCCUGAUCACCUUCUUCGGCAAUCUGUAUUUCUACAGGGGGCACGAAGGGGGGGAUGAUCGAUGACUGGGGCACCCUGAGCUCUUCGGCGGUCAGAGGCGUUAUCUUGGUUUUCAGUUUUUUGGUUCGAAGGAUGCUUCUUCGAUCAGGACGAUCGAGUAAGCCUCCUCGUCGAGGAAUAGAUGUGGUGGUUGGCUCAACUUCUGGGGUGGCUUCAGAAGGGCUAGGAAGGGGUGUUGAUCUGGGUUUUCUGAUAGCCCUCCUCUUCUGGCGAGGACGGAGGGUCUCUUCCGGAACGGGAACCUCAUCAGCUUCAGGUUCUUCAGUUCGGAAUUCGUCAGUGUAUGUCUCCGGGGUCGGCUCGACUUCGGGAGUAGCCUCUGUUGGCAGAGUCUCAACAGCUUUCGAGGACUUCCCGGACAAAAAAUCUUCGAACUCCUUUAUUUCUAAGGAGCUCGGCCUGAUCAAAGAUACUGCAUGAACCAAACAGUCCUGUGUUAGAUUCCACAUUCUAAAACAUUUUCAAAAAUUUAUAUAUAAAAUAGACCGAUACUUACAUUUAUGGUCGUAUAACCAUGCCUGCUUCGAGAGGAGUCCAUACUUCCACUCCUCCUUAGGGAAAUUGUCAAAAAGUUCCAUCAUCUCAACUUCCCGUUCUUCAGAAACGUCUCCAAAGUUGGCAGAGAUCUUCUCGGCAGUGGCCCAGUUUGGUAAAGAAGAAAUUUCGGGACCUUUGACGUAGAACCACUUCUCGUGCCAUCCCCUAUUGCUCGAAGGCGUGUUCACCAGCGAACGCCUCUCGAACUUCUCUCCUGACUUCGGAGAGUGUUUUCUAAUGGCCUUGAAACCCUUCUCUCUAGAUUGGACUAUCUUGUAUACGGUGAAGAAGAAGUCCAAGGAAGGCUCCACGCCCAAUUCAUGACAGAAGGCCACGAAGGCCAAAAUAUGAAUGUAAGAAUUUGGUACCAGUUGGGCGAACCCCACCCCCAGGAACCCCAAUAAAGUCACUAUAAAAAUGUGCAAAGGGAAACGGACCCCCUUCUCGAGCAGGGUCACAGGGACGGCCGUCCAACCCUCUGGCCGUUGAUACAUUUUUUCGCCGGAUCUGGGAACCCUAACUGCAUGGGUAUCCGGGAUGUGGUAUCGAGAUCGGAUCCUCUUUAGUUCAGCCUUUGUGACGAUAGAGGGAGUAUUAGCAUGCGAAAAGCGUUCCGUACUCCUGUAGUAUUCCGAGGGUGUUUUGGGAGUUUUUGGAGGAGGGCUCUUGUCAGUUUUCGACCCCUUUGGUUUCAAGGUCGAGGUUCCUUCACGAGCGAUAGGGUUUGGUGGAACGACAGUGAUCGGUGUUACCAGAAUGGGAGAACCUUGUUCAGAGUCCUGGGAAGCCAUUUUUGACGGUUUGCAGAAGAAAAGAGAAAGUUCAGAGGAGCAGAGAGUUCAGAAGGCGCUCGAAUUUCAAAUGGGCAGGUAAAACUGUCAAAUUUGGUAAAGUUAUCUUUUAUACUGACGGUUACACGAUGUUCAAGGCCGGCUCAUUAAAUGUUAGUAAUGAUUUAGAAUUUGAAUGGGAAACGUCCGGUUCCGGAUCCAUGUAUCUUUUAGACACGGCUUUCCUGAUUUGGGCCUCCAUUCUCCUCUCGUUUCGUCUCGUGAACAGUAACUGGGUGCAUUUCAAUUAUUUCUUAUUGUGGACCUUUAGUAAAUUAUCAUGGACCAUUUAUAGUUUUCUAUUAAAUAUUCUGUUCAACAAAAAACUAGGGGGCAAUGUUGGGUCGUGAUAUUUCCUCUCUUUGGGCCGGGUAUAUUGGGCCUACUCACUUAAUCAAUCUAUUGGGCCUUUAUUAUUAAUCUAUGAAAGUCAUUGGGCCCAGUCACCAUAUUAUUUCCAUUUUAACCUAUAAGACCGGGUCGGUCCAGUAGAUCGACCCAUUAAAUAUUUUAAUAUCUGUUACUUUGACUUGCAAUGAUGAAAAAACAUGACGGUUGACCAAAACUCCUGCCAUGCAUUAAUGUGGAUGGGAUCAUAGUCGGCCGGCGGUAAAAAACAGUGGCCAAAAGCAGUGGAUAAACUACAUGCAGUCGGCAGAACCCAUCAUAUCAAAGGGGUGUGUCAGGUAGUAGUGGGUGGCACAGUAAUCCAGGAAAAGAGAGUAUAACUUAGCAAGGAAGUCUUCACAAAGAGGUACGUUCUCAUACACUUUCAUAUGGAUAUUCUCACAUACACACAACAGAAAAUUAUCAUCUCUCUCUCUAGACACUAGACAUUACAUUCCUCCAUUGUUAACCUUGUGAACACGUAUACUGACUCUCACGCCUGAGCUAUCCCCGACGGAACAGCCGUCAAGCUUGUGGUGUUUACCGUGUUUACUGUGCAGGAUCAGGGCGUCUUACGUAAUUGGGACGUGACAGAAGUUCCUGGCGUUAACAGUCUCCUGUGCAGCAGGAAAGAGCCACCACAGUUCCUGGCCAUUCUCACCCCGCAAGGUUGGCACCUGAUGGUCAUCUAUCAAGAAAAUGUUGGAGAAAAAAUGAUCAAAAAACAGAGCAAGAAAGCAAAAAACAGAGCAUCAGUUUAAAAAAUAAAAUGCAGAGCAGUUACCGGCAACGGCAUGAAAGAGCAUGAGUUGCUGGUCAUCCUCACGUGUGCCAAACUGAUGGUCCUCUGUCUUGGUGGAGAAAAAAUGAUCAAAAAAAACAGAGAUCAAAAUAGAGCAUCAUAAUCUAAACCCAUUAGAUACAUUACCUUUGGAGAGAAUAAGUUGGAAUUGGAAAAGGAAGAGAGGGUUUUAGGUGGAGGUUUAGAGAGAGAGAGACGGCAGUCUGAGUGUGAGGAAGUUUAGAAUACAGGGAGGGAUGAGUCUGAGAAUAUAAGGUGGUAUUCAGCCAAUAGGACAGUACCAUCUGUUCUGUUGAAAAAAGAAUUUCUUGCAAAUUUUGUUCGUGAGUUGCAAUAACUAAAU
rnacentral:lncRNA from 1 species